rnacentral:rRNA from 1 species
UACAGAGGUCUCAAGCGUUGUUCGGAUUCAUUGGGCGUAAAGGGUGCGUAGGCGGCGCGGUAAGUCGGGUGUGAAAUCUCGGAGCUUAACUCCGAAACUGCAUUCGAUACUGCCGUGCUUGAGGACUGGAGAGGAGACUGGAAUUUACGGUGUAGCGGUGAAAUGCGUAGAGAUCGGGAGGAACACCAGUGGCGAAGGCGGCCGGCUGGGGGUGACCUGACGCUGAGGCGCGAAAGCGUGGGGAGCGAACCGG